rnacentral:rRNA from 1 species
UACGUAGGGAGCAAGCGUUGUUCGGAAUUACUGGGCGUAAAGGGCUCGUAGGUGGCCAACUAAGUCAGACGUGAAAUCCCUCAGCUUAACUGGGGAACUGCGUCUGAUACUGGAUGGCUUGAGUUUGGGAGAGGGACGCGGAAUUCCAGGUGUAGUGGUGGAAUGCGUAGAUAUCGGGAGGAACACCAGUGGCGAAGGCGGCGUCCUGGACCGGUGCUGACGCUGAGGAGCGAAAGCGUGGGGAGCGAUCCGG